rnacentral:rRNA from 1 species
UACGGGGGGGGCAAGCGUUGUUCGGAAUUACUGGGCGUAAAGGGCUCGUAGGCGGCCAACUAAGUCAGACGUGAAAUCCCUCGGCUUAACCGGGGAACUGCGUCUGAUACUGGAUGGCUUGAGUUUGGGAGAGGGAUGCGGAAUUCCAGGUGUAGCGGUGAAAUGCGUAGAUAUCUGGAGGAACACCGGUGGCGAAGGCGGCAUCCUGGACCAACACUGACGCUGAGUGAGCGAAAGCCAGGGGAGCGAACAGG